rnacentral:rRNA from 1 species
AAUGAACGCUGGCGGCGCGCCUAACACAUGCAAGUCGAACGAGAAAUCUCGAGCUUGCUCGGGAGAGUACAGUGGCGCACGGGUGAGUAACGCGUGGGUAACCUAUCCUUAAACCUGGGAUAAUCCACCGAAAGGUGGCCUAAUACCGGAUACCGUCACGAGAACCCCGGUUCUCGGGAUGAAAGCUGACCUCUUCGUGAAAGUUGGCGUUUAGGGAGGGGCUCGCGUACCAUUAGCUUGUUGGUAGGGUAAUGGCCUACCAAGGCUACGAUGGUUAGCUGGUCUGAGAAGACAACCAGCCACACUGGAACUGAGACACGGUCCAGACUCCUACGGGAGGCAGCAGUGAGGAAUCUUGCGCAAUGGGGGAAACCCUGACGCAGCGACGCCGCGUGGGUGAAGAAGGCCUUCGGGUCGUAAAGCUCUGUCAAGUGGGAAUAACAUCACGCCGUUAAUAGCGGUAGGA